GUGGGGUUGUGGCUUAAUGGUAGAGCACUCACCUAGUACCUGUGAGGCCCUGGGUUUGAUCCUCAGCACCACG
rnacentral:tRNA from 1 species